ensembl:lncRNA SCAT1 S-phase cancer associated transcript 1
GUGGCCCAGACAGGGCACUGUCUGUGGCCCCAGGGGUUGAGGACCCCUGGCUUUAACAACAGAAAGGGAGGGAAUUGGGAUCUGAAGACGUUGCAUUCGAGGUCUCGGGGCUCCUGAUGAGCAGCCUCGGCCUGACCUGGGGCAGGUGUGAUGUCUGCGGCUCACCAUCUCCACCCUGCCUGCUGUGGAAUCUCCACAACGACAGGUGCUUUGGAGGCCAGAGUGCAUGCGUACGGGCCCUGCACACGCUGAAUGUCACUGGGAACAAGGACACACCCCGCUUCCAGGAGAAGAUAGAACAUGUCGACCCCUUUUGCUCUCGUUCUGUUGCCCAGGCUGGAGUUCAGUGGCAUGAUCUUGGCUCACUGCAGCCUCGAACUCACAGGCUUAGGUGAUCCUCCCACCUCAGCCUCCUCAGUAGCUGGGACUACAGAGCCAUCCCCAGUGCAGGACAUGCUAUUGACUUCCAUGAGACAAACACCUACUUGGAAAUCAGGUUUUUUCUGUACCUUUUGAAGGAGCAGGAAUUUCCCAGCAUUUCCUGGACAAAGACGGAGUUGAACACCGAGUCCACUGAGCUAAACCAGUGAGCAGAUUAUUGUUGUUAAAAAAUUGCUUCGGGAGGCUGAGGCAGAAGAAUCGCUUGAACCCGGGAGGCGGAGGUUGCAGUGAGCUGAGAUGGCACCAUUGCACUCCAGCCUGGGCAACAAGAGUGAAACUCCAUCUCAAAAA